AUUGAACGCUGGCGGCAUGCCUUACACAUGCAAGUCGAACGGCAGCGGACCUUCGGGUGCCGGCGAGUGGCGAACGGGUGAGUAAUGUAUCGGAACGUACCUUUCAGUGGGGGAUAACGUAGCGAAAGUUACGCUAAUACCGCAUAUUCUGUGAGCAGGAAGGCAGGGGAUCGCAAGACCUUGCGCUGAUUGAGCGGCCGAUAUCAGAUUAGCUCGUUGGUGAGGUAAAGGCUCACCAAGGCGACGAUCUGUAGCGGGUCUGACAGGAUGAUCCGGCACACUGGAACUGAGACACGGUCCAGACUCCUACGGGAGUCAGCAGUGGGGAAUUUUGGACAAUGGGCGCAAGCCUGAUCCAGCCAUGCCGCGUGAGUGAAGAAGGCCUUCGGGUUGUAAAGCUCUUUCGGGCGGGAAGAAAUCGCAUGGGUUAAUACCCUGUGCGGAUGACGGUACCGGCAUAAGAAGCACCGGCUAACUACGUGCCAGCCGCCGCCGUAAGAC
rnacentral:rRNA from 1 species